rnacentral:rRNA from 1 species
GUCCUUUUGAUGUUAAUUUAAGGUCUAACCUGCCCACUGAUUAAUUGAAUGGCCGCAGUAAUUUGACUGUGCAAAGGUAGCAUAAUCAUUAGUUUUUUAAUUGAAAGCUAGAAUGAAUGGUUGGACGAGAUAAAAUCUGUCUCUAUUUAAAUUAUUUUAGAAUUUAAUUUUUAAGUUAAAAAGCUUAAAUGUUUAUAAAAGACGAGAAGACCCUAUAGAUCUUUAUAUUUAUUUAUAUAAUUUUAUUAAAGAAUAUUUUAUUUUUUAUUUAAUUAAGUAUUUUAUUGGGGUAAUAAAAAGAUUUAUUAAAUUCUUUUUUUUAUAGAAUAUUGAUUAGUAGAUAUUUGAUCCAAUUUUUUUGAUUAUAAGAUUAAGUUACCUUAGGGAUAACAGCGUAAUUUUUUUUGAGAGUUCAUAUCGAUAAAAAAGUUUGCGACCUCGAUGUUGGAUUAAAAAUUAUUUUAGGUGCAGAAGUCUAGAAAUUUGGUCUGUUCGACCAUUGAAUUUUU